ACAUGCAAGUCGAGCGGGACAUGCGACGGAGCGGAAGGUUUCGGAGUGGAAGUGAAGAUGUAUGUUCUAGCGGCGGACGGGUGAGUAACGACGUGAGCAACCUGUCCCUUACAGGGGAUAACACAGCGAAAGUUGUACUAAUACCGCAUAAGACCACAGCAGGACAUCCUGCAGGGGUCAAAGGAGCAAUCCGGUAAGGGGUGGGCUCGCGUCCGAUUAGAUAGUUGGUGAGGUAACGGCCCACCAAGUCGACGAUCGGUAGCCGACCUGAGAGGGUGAUCGGCCACAUUGGGACUGAGACACGGCCCAAACUCCUACGGGAGGCAGCAGUGGGGAAUAUUGGGCAAUUGGGGGGAAACCCUGACCCAGCAACGCCGCGUGAGGGAAGAAGGUUUUCGGAUCGUAAACCUCUGUCCUUGGUGAAGAGUUUGAGACGGUAGCCAAGGAGGAAGCCCCGGCUAACUACGUGCCAGCAGCCGC
rnacentral:rRNA from 1 species